rnacentral:rRNA from 1 species
UACGUAGGGGGCAAGCGUUGUCCGGAAUCAUUGGGCGUAAAGCGCGUGUAGGCGGCCCGGUAAGUCCGCUGUGAAAGUCCAGGGCUCAACCCUGGGAUGCCGGUGGAUACUGUCGGGCUCGAGUCCGGAAGAGGGGUGUGGAAUUCCUGGUGUAGCGGUGAAAUGCGCAGAUAUCAGGAGGAACACCAAUGGCGAAGGCAGCACUCUGGGACGUGACUGACGCUGAGACGCGAAAGCGUGGGGAGCAAACAGG